AUACGGAGGAUGCGAGCGUUAUCCGGAUUUAUUGGGUUUAAAGGGUGCGUAGGCUGUGCGUUAAGUCAGGGGUGAAAUGCCGUCGCUCAACGACGGAGCUGCCCUUGAUACUGCCGAGCUGGAGUACGGAUGCCGUUGGAGGAAUGAGUGGUGUAGCGGUGAAAUGCAUAAAUAUCACUCAGAACACCGAUUGCGAAGGCAUCUGACGAAUCCGUCACUGACGCUGAGGCACGAAAGCGUGGGGAUAAAACAGGAUUAGAUACCCUGGUAUUCCACGCCGUAAACGAUGAUGACUAACCGCCUGCGAUACAAUGUAGGUGGCCAAGCGAAAGCGAUAAGUCAUCCACCUGGGGAGUACGACCGCAAGGUUGAAACUCAAAGGAAUUGACGGGG
rnacentral:rRNA from 1 species